rnacentral:rRNA from 1 species
ACGGAAGGCAGCAGUGGGGAAUAUUGCGCAAUGGGGGGAACCCUGACGCAGCAAUACCGCGUGAGCGAAGAAGGUUUUCGGAUCGUAAAGCUCUUGUAUUGGGGAAGAAGAAGUGACGGUACCCAAUGAAGAAGUCCCGGCUAACUACGUGCCAGCAGCCGCGGUAAUACGUAGGGGACAAGCGUUGUCCGGAAUGACUGGGCGUAAAGGGCGCGUAGGCGGGAUGUUAAGUCUGAUGUGAAAGGUUACGGCUCAACCGUAGACAUGCAUUGGAAACUGGCAUUCUUGAGUACUGGAGAGGCAAGUGGAAUUCCUAGUGUAGCGGUGAAAUGCGUAGAUACUAGGAGGAACACCGGCGGCGAAGGCGGCUUGCUGGACAGAUACUGACGCUGAGGCGCGAAAGCGUGGGGAGCAAACAGGAUUAGAUACCCUGGUA